UACGUAGGGGGCAAGCGUUGUCCGGAUUUAUUGGGCGUAAAGAGCGUGUAGGCGGCCAUUCAGGUCAGCUGUGAAAACUCGGGGCUCAACCUCGAGACGUCGGUUGAAACCGUUUGGCUAGAGUCCGGAAGAGGAGAGUGGAAUUCCCGGUGUAGCGGUGAAAUGCGCAGAUAUCGGGAAGAACACCCGUGGCGAAGGCGGGUUGCUGGGCUGACACUGACGCUGAGGCGCGAAAGCUAGGGGAGCGAACGGG
rnacentral:rRNA from 1 species